CGUGGGCAAUCUGCCCUUCACUCUGGGACAAGCCCUGGAAACGGGGUCUAAUACCGGAUAACACUCUGUCCCGCAUGGGACGGGGUUAAAAGCUCCGGCGGUGAAGGAUGAGCCCGCGGCCUAUCAGCUUGUUGGUGGGGUAAUGGCCUACCAAGGCGACGACGGGUAGCCGGCCUGAGAGGGCGACCGGCCACACUGGGACUGAGACACGGCCCAGACUCCUACGGGAGGCAGCAGUGGGGAAUAUUGCACAAUGGGCGAAAGCCUGAUGCAGCGACGCCGCGUGAGGGAUGACGGCCUUCGGGUUGUAAACCUCUUUCAGCAGGGAAGAAGCGAAAGUGACGGUACCUGCAGAAGAAGCGCCGGCUAACUACGUGCCAGCAGCCGCGGUAAUACGUAGGGCGCAAGCGUUGUCCGGAAUUAUUGGGCGUAAAGAGCUCGUAGGCGGCUUGUCACGUCGGAUGUGAAAGCCCGGGGCUUAACCC
rnacentral:rRNA from 1 species